AUUGAACGCUGGCGGCAGGCCUAACACAUGCAAGUCGAGCGGAUGAGGGAAGCUUGCUUCCCGAUUUAGCGGCGGACGGGUGAGUAAUGCCUAGGAAUCUGCCUAUUAGUGGGGGAUAACGUUCCGAAAGGAACGCUAAUAACGCAUACGUCCUACGGGAGAAAGUGGGGGAUCUUCGGACCUCACGCUAAUGGAUGGGCCUAGGUCGGAUUAGCUAGUUGGUGAGCUAACGGCUCACCAAGGCGACGAUCCGUAGCUGGUCUGAGAGGAUGAUCAGCCACACUGGAACUGAGACACGGUCCAGACUCCUACGGGAGGCAGCAGUGGGGAAUAUUGGACAAUGGGCGAAAGCCUGAUCCAGCCAUGCCGCGUGUGUGAAGAAGGUCUUCGGAUUGUAAAGCACUUUAAGUUGGGAGGAAGGGUUGUAAGCUAAUAUCUUGCAGCUUUGACGUUACCAACAGAAUAAGCACCGGCUAACUCUGUGCCAGCCGCCGCAGUAAUAC
rnacentral:rRNA from 1 species